CAACAAUUUUCCGUUAUCGCGAUGCGUUCGAAGCAUCCUAUUAAGCGACAAUCAUCGUUCCCUUUGUAAAACAAUAAACAAACAUAAUAUUCGUUUGUUUCCAAAAAUUAUAAUAACUAGAAUUGUUAUGAAAAGAAUACUUUCUUCUUCCACAUCGUUUUUCUUCUCAGGAAACACUACUUUAAAGGUAUCUCUUCGUCUACAUGCCAUGAUCAGACCGGUACAAUAACAAAACGAAGAUAAUAAUAAUAUGAAUCCAAGAUAACCCAUGUGACGCAUAAAUGCUGUAACGCCGCAAAUGAAAUAAAUAAAGAAAUGAAAUUUA